AGUAAGCGCAAAGGCUCUGAGGCAGUUUCAUCUGAGAAACUGGCCCCACCAGUCCUGGGCCCAACAUCAGCCCGCCCUCAUCAUGGGUUUCCAGCUGCUCCUGUAAAGUCAACAGUGCCCAGGAACAAUGAAGAAGGAGGGGACAGCAGGGAGGCCCAUAGCCCACUGUGCUCCCUCGCAAGCAUGUGACCCUCAGGAAUGACUGGCAGAGGUAAUGAUGGGAAACAAGCCCCAGGGAGGGUGGAGGGCUGAGAAAGAAACCCUAGUCUCAGGCAGGUGCUGGUGGCUGCAGUGCCUGCAGGACUGGCCCUCCUGGCUGUGGACAGGCCAUGGCUAUUCUAGAGACAAGGGAUGGCUCUGGGGCAACUGGGAACAUGUGCCUUUCCUGGGGGACAUCAGCCUAGAAGCUUUUAAGUGAUAGGCCCAGAAGGGGCUUGGUCCAGCCCUGCUGCAUCCCCGCAUUGACUCACUCUUCCAUCUAUUUAGUUGAAAUACUGAGGCCUGUUGUGAGCCAGGUCCUGGGGUUAAAAAUGUUUCUCCCACAAGGAGCAUUUGCUAGGGAAAGUGAGAGCCAGAGAGAGAGAGAGAGAGAGGAAAUGACUUUCCAUAGGUCGCACAAUGAGUUGCUGCAAAGCCUGCCUAGGAGUCUUGACUCCCUGUCCAGUGCUCUGACAAGCAAGUGCUCCAAAUGCUCCAGACACCUCUUGGUGGCCUUGGGGAGCUCAUUCCUUAGUGCAUUUAUGUCUGCUUGGUUGCCUAGGAGAGGCCUGAGGGCUGUGACCAGCUGAGGGCCACAGGAGUUAGAGAGGAGCUGGGCAUGUCUCUAGGCUGGCUAGGCUGCAGGGAGCCCGUGGCCAGCCUGGGGGAGGUGCCUCUUGCAUGCUGUGUGGCUUCCAUCCCUGGAUCAGUUUCACCAUCUUUUACCUGGUAAUGGGUUGCCCUACCAACCUGUCAAGGUUGCUGUGGGGAAUGAGAACAUGCCUUUCUAAGUUCCCCACCGUGGAAUCUGCCUUGAGCAGGAUGAGGUCACGUGGUGGCACAAGCCAAGAUGGGAGAGUGAGUAACUCUGGACUUGGCCAUGUGACUUUCUUGGGCCAAUGGGACAUGAGCAAGCAUGAUACCAGCAGGGAUUUGAUUCUUCCUCCACCUCAGCUGAAAGGAUUCAUCUUGCAGCACGGCCCACCUUGGAACCCUUUGUGUUUGCUGAAACUUUCUUUGUGAUUAUUCUUAUGUCACUGCAUAGCAUGUAAAUGUAUCACACCCCCCCCCCACCCAUUAUUAUUAUCUCCUAGUAUGCACCAGGCACUGGCCAUAAAUUAUUUCUAAUCAUCAUUAAAACUCUACCACGGUUAUCCUCCCUCUAUGGAUAGGAAAACUAAGGCUUGGAGGUUGAAGAGGUCAUGGAUCUUGUCCAAGGUCACUAAACUCAUAAAUGUCACAGUCAAAAUUUGAAUCUAGAUAGAGUUGUCAGCUCCAAAGAAGUUUGCUCAGUCAGUUCUUCCCCAAAUUAGCUUUUUAUCCAAAUUUGCUGAGAAGCUUUUUAAAAAUACAUCUUCUUUACAACAAAGCCAGAGAAAGAAUAAGGCAGCUCUCUGCACAACAAUAUGGUGCUCGUAUAUGCCUAGAACAUCUCCAGGAAGAAGGGCCGGUACAGGACCAGGUCAGCCUGUCCUCAUUACAUCAGCAGGGUGAGCCAAGGGAGGUUGCCUAAAAAUUCAACUGGCUGUCCCCAUGCCUUCUGCUCCCGCUUCUGGAAGGGAAGACAGGGCAGGGACCAUGUCCAGCUGCAGAAAAUCCCAGUGUUUUUCUGUGGCAUUGCCUGGUAAAGGCUGAACGUGGCUUUCGUGAGAGCUAAUCUGCCUGCCCAACCAGAUUGUGCUGUGGCUAAAAUUGCUGUGAGCUCGACAGUGCCUGAAGACUGGAGAAAACUGAGCCAUGUCUUGGAUGCUCUUGCGGGGCCUAGGGGAGUGCCAGGCCAGAAGGAGAACUGCCUGUGGACUCUCAGUAGGAAAGCAGCUAACGAGGUGAUGAGUGAGUGUCGCCUGGAAGUCUGGGGGCCAUUCCAUGUGGGUCACAUCGCCUGACCAGAGGGUUGGGUGCCUGGACAGGGCUGAGCUUGGGACUCCUUCCAGGGCCUGGCCUCAGCUGCUGGGCCUGCCGAGCAUGCCCCACAAGCACCCACGCACACAUACAAGUAUGGAGGCAGAGUGGAAGUUUGACUUUUGCAGAUCUCGUACAGCCUGGAGUAGAGAAGAGAAUUGGGAACUCUCAAUGUUGUGUGACCCUAGGCAAGUCCCUUCCCUGCCUUGUGCCUCAGUUUCCCUUUACAUACCAUGAGGAUGUUCCCAGUGUUGGUGUUUUAAUGCCUGCAGACAAGCUAAGCUCAUCAUCUGGUUCCCGGAAGAGAUCCUCCUUUUGUGGAAAGGCCACAGCCACUCUGCCACCCUGAGGCUCCCACUCCUCCUUCUCUGGAACCCUCUCCCUUGCCUGUAGGUCACGGGAAUGUCAAGAGCACCCAGGGAAGUGCCUGCUGCCAGUCAUCACUCACUGAUUAUGUGACAGCAGAGGAGCCAAGAAGCUGCUGGGAAUCGAGACACCCCCCCAUUCAGUCCCCACCAUCUCUGUCUUCAUGAGGUUCCCUGGGAGAAGCUCCUAUGUCUGGGAAUGGAAAUGUCUCCACCUGGAUAGGGACAAACAGGAGCUGGGGGCUGCAUCUUAAGACUUCUUGUCCCAUUAGUGCUGACCUCUGGAGACGGCUCCUGAAUUGUGCCCACUCCCCCACCUCCUCACCACACACAUGCUCUGGGCCGUGCGAGGCUCAGCUUGUCACGGACAAGCUAAAAUGAGGUGGCCUGAAUGCCCCUUAUCAUAGACAGCUUAUCUCCUGUGGUCACUCACCUGACAGACUCCAGAGAGCCACUCAGCGGGCCUCUCCCAGCCGCCUGCUUCUCAGCUCUGACUCUCCCUUGCCUUAAGGGGACACUGGAUUCCAGUGACCCUCCUAUUGGUCAGAGUUGGGCUGAGCACAGAGAAGGGGUAGAAUGCUCCUGGGAACUCGGAAAGCUCUGGGAUGCCAGCUUUUCCCACAUGUUCUCACUCACCCCUCUGUAAUACAGAUUCUGCAGCCCUGCCCCCCACACACACACUCCUACACCUCUGCUCUCAAAGUGAAGAAGUAGGCUAAUAUCUGUGGUACAUUUAUUUACCUACUCCCUGAGACUGCAGCUCCCUUAGUCAGUGUUGUGUCCUCCACUCAGGCUGGGGCUCCCUGAGGAUGGGGCUGUGUCUCCCCUCAGACUGGGGUUCCCCAAGGACAGGGCUGUGUCUCUCCUUAGGCUGGGGUCCCUGAGGGUGGGGCUGUGUCUCCCUGCAGAUUGGGGCUCCCUGAGGAUGGGGCUGUGUCUCCCUGAAGACUGGGGCUCCCUGAGGACAGGGCUGUGUCUCCCCUCAGGCUGGGGCUCCUUGAGGAUGGGACACUUUAAAGAAGAGAAAUUGACAGGUUGACCCUGGGGGAUCUUUGGGUCAAUAAAACAUUCUAUAGACCCUCAGUGGUCAGACUAGGAUGAUACCUUGA
rnacentral:lncRNA from 10 species